rnacentral:misc_RNA from 1 species
GAUGAAGAACGUAGCGAAGUGCGAUACGUAAUGUGAAUUGCAGAAUUCAGUGAAUCAUCGAAUCUUUGAACGCAUAUUGCGCUCUCUGGUAUUCCGGAGAGCAUGCUUGUUUGAGUAUCAGUAAACACCUCAACUUCCAUAUCUUUUUUUGAAAUGGGAGUUGGACUUGAGUGAUCCCAACGCUUUUCCUCACCGAAAAGUGGCGGGUUACUUGAAAUGCAGGUGCAGCUGGACUUUUCUCUGAGCUAUAAGCAUAUCUAUUUAGUCUGCCUAAAAAACAGAUUAUUACCUUUGCUGCAGCUAACAUAAAGGAGAUUAGUUCUUGUGCUGACUGAUGCAGGAUUCACAAAGACAGCUUCGGCCGACUUUGUAAACUCGAUCUCAAAUCAAGUAAGACUACCCGCUGAACUUAAGCAUAUCAAUAAGCGGAGGA